rnacentral:rRNA from 1 species
GACGUAGGGCGCGAGCGUUGUCCGGAAUCAUUGGGCGUAAAGAGCGCGUAGGCGGCCCUGUAAGUCCGCUGUGAAAGUCAAGGGCUCAACCCUUGGAUGCCGGUGGAUACUGCAGGGCUAGAGUCCGGAAGAGGCGAGUGGAAUUCCUGGUGUAGCGGUGAAAUGCGCAGAUAUCAGGAGGAACACCGAUGGCGAAGGCAGCUCGCUGGGACGGUACUGACGCUGAGGAGCGAAAGCGUGGGGAGCGAACAGG